rnacentral:lncRNA from 1 species
GGCUUCUCUUGAUAAAGGAGUAUUUAGAGUAUUUAUGACUCUUGAAAACAGUGAAAAGGACAGUCUGGGCGAGGAAGUGCACAUUCCCAGAAGCCUCAAACUGCCUACUGUUUUAUUUUCCCGUGCAGAGAGCAUAUAAUCCUUAUGCUUCCACCUACACUGUAAAGGACCAUUUAUAUAUGCAGACUGAUCUUAGACUUGCGCAAGGCAUGUCAGACAAAAUAAAAAAAGGAAAAAAAAGAAGAGAUAAUACCAAAAUGGUAUUCCAACAAAAAGACAAAAAGGCUCGCUGUUUGUGUUAGUGAAGAUGAUGCGGCUUUGACUGGUUUUCUUUUUUUUUUUUUUUUUUUUUUUUUACAUAUAAUUAUUGUUAUUGUUAUUAUUAUUAUUAUGGAUGGUAAUUGUUAUUACAGUUAUUUGUUUUGUAAAUUAAAUCAACGUUUUGCAAUCAGUAUUAUACGUUUUUAUAUUGUUAAAGAAGCAAACCAUGCACAAAAAAAGUUGAAAAAACAUUUUCAUAUUUUUAUUGAGAUGGUGACGAUGCACCUGACCUGACUUCUAUGUGAAUUGAGUGUCAGUAUUACAGCAUGGGUUCUCUUGCUCUCCAGUGAUUCAGUGUCUUUUUAACAGAGAUUUUGCAUAGGUGGACUCUCAUCCAGACAUAUCUCAGUCAUUUCUCAGUAAAAUGGUCUCAAUAAAAAGUUUAAUUUACUCUUUUGUGGUGGUGGUCUUCUAUUCAUCAGAAUAGAAAGAUUAUAAUAGCUUCAUAAAAAAAAAACUCCAGGUUUAAUUUUCCAAAUAAAUAAAUAAUCGAUUUGUAACUAACUAUUUUGUUACAAAUCUAUUUUAAAAAGUGCACUUUCCACACAGUAUUUUUUUCAUAUUUCUAGACAAUUGUAUCCUUAUAUUGAUCCAAAAUUCACUAAUGAGUAUUUUAGAGUACAAAUUAUUUCUCAAAUAAAUAGAAGUGACGUGAUAAUCAGUAUGCAGAGAUAAUAUUCAUAAAUUACUGGAUUGUUUUCUGACAGAGAGCCACUUUUUGGUUUUAAGAUUUCUGUGCCAUGUCUACGUAUCAGUAUUUGUGCAGGUGAGUUAUUGGUUCUUAAAGAUUCAAUAAGAAAAGCUGACUCAUUUUGCUGCAAUUCUGCAAAAUGAACAAAAAAAAAGAGAGCAUAACAAAUCAACACAAACAAAUGUUUUUAAAUAUAUUAUAAUAACAUGUUAUUGAGUUUUUCCUUAAUAUGUUAUUAUUUUAGUACCAUGGUAUACAAGUGAAAGGUUUUUAUACACUUAGCUGAAUUUAUAUAUUGUGAUUAUGUGAACCCUUUGAUCUUGAACAUAUGAAUCAAACACCAAAUAUAGUGCUCCC